UGGGGAAUUUUGGACAAUGGGCGAAAGCCUGAUCCAGCAAUGCCGCGUGUGUGAAGAAGGCCUUCGGGUUGUAAAGCACUUUUGUCCGGAAAGAAAUCCUUGGCUCUAAUACAGUCGGGGGAUGACGGUACCGGAAGAAUAAGCACCGGCUAACUACGUGCCAGCAGCCGCGGUAAUACGUAGGGUGCAAGCGUUAAUCGGAAUUACUGGGCGUAAAGCGUGCGCAGGCGGUUUGCUAAGACCGAUGUGAAAUCCCCGGGCUCAACCUGGGAACUGCAUUGGUGACUGGCAGGCUAGAGUAUGGCAGAGGGGGGUUAGAAUUCCACGUGUAGCAGUGAAAUGCGUAGAGAUGUGGAGGAAUACCGAUGGCGAAGGCAGCCCCCUGGGCCAAUACUGACGCUCAUGCACGAAAGCGUGGGGAGCAAACAGGAUUAGAUACCCUGGUAGUCCACGCCCUAAACGAUGUCAACUAGUUGUUGGGGAUUCAUUUCCUAGUAACGUAGCUAACGCGUGAAGUUGACCGCCUGGGGAGUACGGUCGCAAGAUUAAAACUCAAAGGAAUUG
rnacentral:rRNA from 1 species